rnacentral:misc_RNA from 1 species
UUGAAUUUUAAUGAAGAGUUUGUUGUAGCUGGCCCAUUCAUUUGGGCAUGUGCACACCUUCCUCUUUCAUCCCACACACACCUGUGAACCUGUAAGACAGAGAUGGGGAAUUUACUUGCUGCUUUUUGGAAUACAAAGGCAAUAGGUUAUUGGACCCCCCCUCUGUCUACUCAAUUAAUAUAAACUCAAUUUAUUUAAAACGAAUGUAAUGGAUGUAACACAUCUCAUAC